rnacentral:misc_RNA from 1 species
GAAAUGCGAUAAGUAAUGUGAAUUGCAGAAUUCAGUGAAUCAUCGAAUCUUUGAACGCACCUUGCGCUCCUUGGUAUUCCUUGGAGCAUGCCUGUUUGAGUAUCAUGAAAUCUUCAAAGUAAAUCUUUUGUUAACUCAAUUGGUUUCUACUUUGGUAUUGGAGGUCUUUGCAGCUUCACACCUGCUCCUCUUUGUUCAUUAGCUGGAUCUCAGUGUUAUGCUUGGUUCCACUCGGCGUGAUAAGUUAUCUAUCGCUGAGGACACUGUAAAAGGUGGCCAAGGUAAUGCAGAUGAACCGCUUCUAAUAGUCCAUUGACUUGGACAAUACUUUUAUGAUCUGAUCUCAAAUCAGGUAGGACUACCCGCUGAACUUAAGC